CUUACCAUGCAGUCGAACGAUGAAGCCCUGCUUGCAGGGUGGAUUAGUGGCGAACGGGUGAGUAACACGUGAGUAACCUGCCCCUGACUCUGGGAUAAGCCCGGGAAACUGGGUCUAAUACCGGAUAUGACUUCCUACUGCAUGGUGGGUUGUUGAAAGAUUUAUCGGUGGGGGAUGGACUCGCGGCCUAUCAGCUUGUUGGUGAGGUAAUGGCUCACCAAGGCGACGACGGGUAGCCGGCCUGAGAGGGUGACCGGCCACACUGGGACUGAGACACGGCCCAGACUCCUACGGGAGGCAGCAGUGGGGAAUAUUGCACAAUGGGCGGAAGCCUGAUGCAGCGACGCCGCGUGAGGGAUGACGGCCUUCGGGUUGUAAACCUCUUUCAGUAGGGAAGAAGCGAAAGUGACGGUACCUGCAGAAGAAGCGCCGGCUAACUACGUGCCAG
rnacentral:rRNA from 1 species